GCCCGGGUGGCGGAAUGGCAGACGCAACGGACUUAAAAUCCGUCGCCGCGAGGCAUAAGGGUUCGACUCCCUUCCCGGGCACCA
rnacentral:tRNA from 1 species